rnacentral:rRNA from 1 species
GCCAGACUCCUACGGGAGGCAGCAGUGGGGAAUAUUGCACAACGGGGGAAACCCUGAUGCAGCGACGCCGCGUGAAGGAAGAAGGCUUUCGGGUUGUAAACUUCUUUUCUCAGGGACGAAGCAAGUGACGGUACCUGAGGAAUAAGCCACGGCUAACUACGUGCCAGCAGCCGCGGUAAUACGUAGGUGGCAAGCGUUAUCCGGAUUUACUGGGUGUAAAGGGAGCGUAGACGGAGAAGCAAGUCUGAAGUGAAAGCCCGUGGCUUAACCACGGGACUGCUUUGGAAACUGUUUGACUAGAGUGCUGGAGAGGUAAGUGGAAUUCCUAGUGUAGCGGUGAAAUGCGUAGAUAUUAGGAGGAACACCAGUGGCGAAGGCGGCUUACUGGACAGUAACUGACGUUGAGGCUCGAAAGCGUGGGGAGCAAACAGGAUUAGAUACCCGAGUA